UACGUAGGGGGCGAGCGUUGUCCGGAUUUAUUGGGCGUAAAGAGCGUGUAGGCGGUUCGGUAAGUCUGUCGUGAAAUCCUGAGGCUCAACCUUGGACGUGCGAUGGAUACUGCCGGGCUAGAGGAUGGUAGAGGCGAGUGGAAUUCCCGGUGUAGCGGUGAAAUGCGCAGAUAUCGGGAGGAACACCAGUAGCGAAGGCGGCUCGCUGGGCCAUUCCUGACGCUGAGACGCGAAAGCUAGGGGAGCAAACAGG
rnacentral:rRNA from 1 species